GUCCCGCCUGCCCACUGACCAAAAUUCAACGGCCGCGGUAUUUUGACCGUGCUAAGGUAGCGUAAUCACUUGUCUUUUAAAUGAAGACCCGUAUGAAAGGCUUAACGAGGGCUUAACUGUCUCCUCUUUCAGGUCAAUGAAACUGAUCUCCCCGUGCAGAAGCGGGGAUAUAAACAUAAGACGAGAAGACCCUAUGGAGCUUUAGACACUGAAGCAGACUAUUUUAAACAACCCUAAACAAGCACUAAAUCUACUAGACACCUGCUCCCGUCUUAGGUUGGGGCGACCUUGGGGAAACAAAAAACCCCCAUGUGGAGGGGGAACCUAUUAGACCACACUCCCCCAAAAACCCGAAACACAAUUCUAAUUAACAGAACCUCUGACCAAUUGACCCGGCCUUUGAAGGCCGAUUAACGAAACAAGUUACCCUAGGGAUAACAGCGCUAUCCCCUUUUAAAGUCCAUAUAGACAAGGGGGCUUACGACCUCGAUGUUGGAUCAGGACAUCCUAAUGGUGCAGCCGCUAUUAAGGGUUCGUUUGUUCAACGAUUAAAGUCCUACGUGAUCU
rnacentral:rRNA from 1 species